rnacentral:rRNA from 1 species
UCCCUACGGGAGGCAGCAGUGGGGAAUAUUGGGCAAUGGGCGCAAGCCUGACCCAGCAACGCCGCGUGAAGGAAGAAGGCUUUCGGGUUGUAAACUUCUUUUCUUGGGGACGAACAAAUGACGGUACCCGAAGAAUAAGCUCCGGCUAACUACGUGCCAGCAGCCGCGGUAAUACGUAGGGAGCAAGCGUUAUCCGGAUUUACUGGGUGUAAAGGGCGUGUAGGCGGGCAUGCAAGCCAGAAGUGAAAUCUGGGGGCUUAACCCCCAAACUGCUUUUGGAACUGCGUGUCUUGAGUGAUGGAGAG